GAUGAAGAACGUAGCGAAAUGCGAUACGUAAUGUGAAUUGCAGAAUUCAGUGAAUCAUCGAAUCUUGAACGCAUAUUGCGCUCUCUGGUAUUCCGGAGAGCAUGCUUGUUUGAGUAUCAGUAAACACCUCAACUUCCAUAUCUUUUUUGAAAUGGGAGUUGGACUUGAGUGAUCCCAACGCUUUUCCUCACCGAAAAGUGGCGGGUUACUUGAAAUGCAGGUGCAGCUGGACUUUUCUCUGAGCUAUAAGCAUAUCUAUUUAGUCUGCCUAAAAAACAGAUUAUUACCUUUGCUGCAGCUAACAUAAAGGAGAUUAGUUCUUGUGCUGACUGAUGCAGGAUUCACAAAGACGGCUUCGGCCGACUUUGUAAACUCGAUCUCAAAUCAAGUAAGACUACCCGCUGAACUUAAGCAUAUCAAUAAGCGGAGGA
rnacentral:misc_RNA from 1 species